AACGAACGCUGGCGGCAGGCCUAACACAUGCAAGUCGAGCGCACCCUUCGGGGUGAGCGGCGGACGGGUGAGUAACGCGUGGGAACGUGCCCUUCUCUGCGGAAUAGCCUCGGGAAACUGAGAGUAAUACCGCAUACGCCCUUUGGGGGAAAGAUUUAUCGGAGAAGGAUCGGCCCGCGUUGGAUUAGGUAGUUGGUGGGGUAAUGGCCCACCAAGCCGACGAUCCAUAGCUGGUUUGAGAGGAUGAUCAGCCACACUGGGACUGAGACACGGCCCAGACCCCCACGGGAGGCAGCAGGGGGGAAUCUUAGAAAAGGGGGGAAACCCUGAUCUAGCCAUGCCGGGGGAGUGAUGAAGGCCUUGGGGUUGAAAAGCUCUUUCAGCUGGGAAGAUAAGGACGGUACCAGAAAAAGAAGCCCCGGCUAACCCCGU
rnacentral:rRNA from 1 species